GACGAACGCUGGCGGCGUGCUUAAUACAUGCAAGUCGAACGGAAAGGCCCUGCUUUUGUGGGGUGCUCGAGUGGCGAACGGGUGAGUAACACGUGAGUAACCUGCCCUUGUCUUUGGGAUAACUUCAGGAAACUGGGGCUAAUACCGGAUAGGAUCUCUUGCUGCAUGGUGGGGGUUGGUAAGAUUCGGCGGUGGGGGCUGGACUCGCGGCUUAUCAGCUUGUUGGUGGGGUAGUGGCUUACCAAGGCUUUGACGGGUAGCCGGCCUGAGAGGGUGACCGGCCACAUUGGGACUGAGAUACGGCCCAGUCUCGUACGGGAGGCAGCAGUGGGGAACAUUGCACAAUGGGCGGACGCCUGAUGCAGAAACGCCGCGUGCGGGAUGACGGCCUUCGGGUUGUAAACCGCUUUCGCCUGUGACGAAGAGUGAGUGACGGUAAUGGGUAAAGAAGCACCGGCUAACUACGUG
rnacentral:rRNA from 1 species